UACGUAGGGGGCUAGCGUUGUCCGGAUUUAUUGGGCGUAAAGAGCGUGUAGGCGGCCAGGUAGGUCUGCUGUGAAAACUCGAGGCUCAACCUCGAGACGUCGGCGGAAACCAUCUGGCUAGAGUCCGGAAGAGGAGAGUGGAAUUCCUGGUGUAGCGGUGAAAUGCGCAGAUAUCAGGAAGAACACCCGUGGCGAAGGCGGCUCUCUGGGACGGUACUGACGCUGAGGUGCGGAAAGCGUGGGGGAGCAAACAGG
rnacentral:rRNA from 1 species